rnacentral:rRNA from 1 species
UACGUAGGGUGCGAGCGUUGUCCGGAAUUAUUGGGCGUAAAGGGCUCGUAGGCGGUCUGUUGCGUCAGGAGUGAAAACUCGGGGCUUAACCCCGAGCCUGCUUCUGAUACGGGCAGACUAGAGGUAUGCAGGGGAGAACGGAAUUCCUGGUGUAGCGGUGAAAUGCGCAGAUAUCAGGAGGAACACCGGUGGCGAAGGCGGCAUCCUGGACCGAGAUUGACACUGAUGAGCGAAAGCUAGGGGAGCAAACGGG